rnacentral:rRNA from 1 species
GACGAACGCUGGCGGCGUGCUUAACAUAUGCAAGUCGAGCGAUGAAGUUUCUUCGGAAAUGGAUUAGCGGCGAACGGGUGAGGAACACGUGAAGAAUCUGCCCUCCACUUUGGGAUAACACCGGGAAACCGGUGCUAAUACCGAAUAUUGAAACAUAAGUGGCAUCACUGAGUUUUGAAAGAAUUUCGGUGGAGGAUGACUUCGCGGCCUAUCAGCUAGUUGGUGAGGUAAUGGCUCACCAAGGCAACGACGGGUAGCCGGCCUGAGAGGGCGACCGGCCACACUGGGACUGAGACACGGCCCAGACUCCUACGGGAGGCAGCAGUGGGGAAUAUUGGGCAAUGGAGGAAACUCUGACCCAGCGACGCCGCGUGCGGGAUGAAGGCCUUCGGGUUGUAAACCGCUUUCAGUAGGGAAGAAGCGAAAGUGACGGUACCUACAAAAGAAGCACCGGCUAACUAUGUGCCAGCCGCCGCAGUAA